CAGACCCAAAACUCCAACACCCCAAAUCCGACCCUGGGUAUCCCAAAGCCCCCAGACCCCAAAUCCUGACCCCAACAAUUUGGAGUUCUCAUUUUUGGGGUUCCAGAUUUUUGGGGUUCCCACAAUUUGGGUUUCCAGUUUUUGGGGUUCCUGGGAUUUUUUUUGUUUCCAUUUUUGGGGUUUUGCCGGUUUUUGGGGUUUUGCCGUUUUUUGGGGUUCCCUGUGCUUUUCGGGUUCCCACAAUUUGGGGUUGGGUUUUCCAUUUUGGGGUUCCCGGUGGUUUUGGGGUUUUCCCAUUUUUGGGGUUCCCGGUGUAUUUGGGGUUCCCAUUUUGGGGUCCCCAUUUUGGGGUUCCCAUUUUUGGGGUUUUCCCAUUUUUGGGCUCCCCGGUGUUUUUGGGGUUCCCAUUUUGGGGUUCCCAUUUUUGGGGUUUUCCCAUUUUUGGGGUUUUCCCAUUUUUGGGGUUCCCGGUGUAUUUGGGGUCCCCAUUUUGGGGUUCCCAGUGGUUUUGGGGUUCCCAUUUUUGGGGUUUUCUCAUUUUUGGGGUUCUCGGUGUUUUUGUGUUUCACAUUUUUGGGGUUUCCGGUGUUUUUGGGGUUGGGGUUCCCAUUUUUGGGGUUCCCUGUGGUUUUUGGUGUUUCCAUUUUUGAGGUCCCCGGUGUUUUUGGGGUCCCCAUUUUUGGGGGAUUCCCGUUUUUGGGGUUCCCGGUGUUUUUGUGGUUCCCAUUUUGGGGUUCCCAUUUUUGGGGUUCCCGGUGUAUUUGGGGUUCCCAUUUUUGUGUUUCCCAUUUUUGGGGUUCCCGGUGUUUUUGGGAUUUUCCCAUUUUUGGGGUUCCCGGUGUUUUUGGGGGUUCCCGGUGUUUUUGGGGUCCCCAUUUUUGGGGGUUUCCCAUUUUGGGGUUCCCGGUGUUUUUGGGGAUCCCGGUGGU
rnacentral:lncRNA from 1 species